GCAUCGAUGAAGAACGCAGCAAAAUGCGCGACUAUAUGUGAACUGCAGGACACACGAACAUUGACGCUUCGAACGCACAUAGCGGUCCUUUGGGGUCUCUAUCCCGAGGGCCACGCCUGUCUGAGGGUC
rnacentral:rRNA from 1 species